rnacentral:rRNA from 1 species
AUAGGGGAGCCGUAGGGAAACCGAGUCUUAACUGGGCGAAUGAGUUGCAGGGUAUAGACCCGAAACCCGGUGAUCUAGCCAUGGGCAGGUUGAAGGUUGGGUAACACUAACUGGAGGACCGAACCGACUAAUGUUGAAAAAUUAGCGGAUGACUUGUGGCUGGGGGUGAAAGGCCAAUCAAACCGGGAGAUAGCUGGUUCUCCCCGAAAGCUAUUUAGGUAGCGCCUCGUGAACUCAUCUUCGGGGGUAGAGCACUGUUUCGGCUAGGGGGUCAUCCCGACUUACCAACCCGAUGCAAACUACGAAUACCGAAGAAUGUUAUCACGGGAGACACACGGCGGGUGCUAACGUUCGUCGUGAAGAGGGAAACAACCCAGACCGCCAGCUAAGGUCCCAAAGUCAUGGUUAAGUGGGAAACGAAGUGGGAAGGCUCAGACAGCCAGGAUGUUGGCUUAGAAGCAGCCAUCAUUUAAAGAAAGCGUAAUAGCUCACUGGUCGAGUCGGCCUGCGCGGAAGAUGUAACGGGGCUAAACCAUGCACCGAAGCUGCGGCAGCGACAUGUAAAUGUUGUUGGGUAGGGGAGCGUUCUGUAAGCCUGUGAAGGUGUGCUGCGAGGCAUGCUGGAGGUAUCAGAAGUGCGAAUGCUGACAUAAGUAACGAUAAUGCGGGUGAAAAACCCGCACGCCGGAAGACCAAGGGUUCCUGUCCAACGUUAAUCGGGGCAGGGUGAGUCGACCCCUAAGGCGAGGCAGAAAUGCGUAGUCGAUGGGAAACAGGUUAAUAUUCCUGUACUGGUGAUAAUUGCGAUGGGGGGACGGAGAAGGCUAGGCUGGCCGGGCGACGGUUGUCCCGGUUUAAGGAUGUAGGUGGGUGAAUUAGGCAAAUCCGGUUCGCUAUACACUGAGGUCUGAUGACGAGUCACUACGGUGGCGAAGUAGCUCAUGCCCCGCUUCCAGGAAAAGCCUCUAAGCUCUAGAUUAUCAUUAAUCGUACCCCAAACCGACACAGGUGGUCAGGUAGAGAAUACUCAGGCGCUUGAGAGAACUCGGGUGAAGGAACUAGGCAAAAUGGUGCCGUAACUUCGGGAGAAGGCACGCUGGCAUUAGGUGAAGUGGUUUACCCAUGGAGCUGAAGCCAGUCGCAGAUACCAGCUGGCUGCAACUGUUUAUUAAAAACACAGCACUGUGCAAACACGAAAGUGGACGUAUACGGUGUGACGCCUGCCCGGUGCUGGAAGGUUAAUUGAUGGGGUUAUCCGUAAGGAGAAGCUCUUGAUCGAAGCCCCAGUAAACGGCGGCCGUAACUAUAACGGUCCUAAGGUAGCGAAAUUCCUUGUCGGGUAAGUUCCGACCUGCACGAAUGGCGUAAUGAUGGCCAGGCUGUCUCCACCCGAGACUCAGUGAAAUUGAACUCGCUGUGAAGAUGCAGUGUACCCGCGGCAAGACGGAAAGACCCCGUGAACCUUUACUAUAGCUUGACACUGAACAUUGAGCCUUGAUGUGUAGGAUAGGUGGGAGGCUUUGAAGUGUGGACGCCAGUCUGCAUGGAGCCAACCUUGAAAUACCACCCUUUAAUGUUUGAUGUUCUAACGUUGCCCC